UUGCCUUAAACACACCGCUCGUCACGCGAGAAAAAAC
rnacentral:rRNA from 1 species